CCUUUUUCCACCAGGAACUAUUAGCCCAGAAGGAUGCCAAAGUAGUCAGUCUUUCCCUGCCAGAGUUGCAGUGAACAUAGAUGAUGGUAGUAGGAACCAACUUAAGAGCCCUAUCCAGGGUCAACUUACCUAUCAGUCCUAAAGAGCUCCAGACACCCAUGAAGCCCUAAAUUCAGGAUAGAUAGGAUUUCCUUCCUCAAGGAAUUCUGGUCCCAUAGUAUUGAGAGAGGGCUAUCAUGAACAACUUCAGUGAUCACCCAAGUAUCUGUGUGUGGUGCUGGGGUCUAGAAGGAGAUGGUGGCCUGGUUCCUGGCUGGUUGAGUCAUUAACAGACAGGAAAAUAUGAAUAUCACGGGAUCACCAUCUUGGUUCCAAUGAAGACUAGAAGUGGGGAGGAAGAAAAGACCCAAAGGAGACUCUUUGCUAAUAGCCAAGAAGUGACCCUCCAAGUCAUUUACAGAAAAAUCAAGGAAAUAAAAAUAGAAAAAUAUUAGCUGGUUAUUCUAAGUCAUGGACAAGACUAUGGAAUCAUUGAUUCUAAAGGCCAAUGGAUCUGAAAGAUGAAAAUUGAUUCACCUAAGAACAUUGAUUAAAUUUCUCCUC
rnacentral:lncRNA from 1 species